GAUGAACGCUGGCGGCGUGCCUAAUACAUGCAAGUCGAGCGAUCGGACGAGAAGCUUGCUUCUCUGAUGUUAGCGGCGGACGGGUGAGUAACACGUGGAUAACCUACCUUUAAGACUGGGAUAACUUCGGGAAACCGUAGCUAAUAGGGGCUAAUAUUUUGUACCGCAUGGUUCAAAAGUGAAAGACGGUCUUGCUGUCACUUAUAGAUGGAUCCGCGCUGCAUUAGCUAGUUGGUAAGGCAACGGCUUACCAAGGCAACGAUGCAUAGCCGACCUGAGAGGGUGAUCGGCCACACUGGAACUGAGACACGGUCCAGACUCCUACGGGAGGCAGCAGUAGGGAAUCUUCGGCAAUGGGCGAAAGCCUGACGGAGCAACGCCGCGUGAGUGAUGAAGGUCUUCGGAUCGUAAAACUCUGUUAUUAGGGAAGAACAUAUGUGUAAGUAACUGUGCACAUCUUGACGGUACCUAAUCAGAAAGCCACGGCUAACUACGUG
rnacentral:rRNA from 1 species